UCCAGACUCCUACGGGAGGCAGCAGUGGGGGAUAUUGCACAAUGGGGGGAACCCUGAUGCAGCGACGCCGCGUGAGUGAAGAAGUAUUUCGGUAUGUAAAGCUCUAUCAGCAGGGAAGAAGAAAGACGGUACCUGAGUAAGAAGCCCCGGCUAACUACGUGCCAGCAGCCGCGGUAAUACGUAGGGGGCAAGCGUUAUCCGGAUUUACUGGGUGUAAAGGGAGCGUAGACGGUAUGGCAAGUCUGAAGUGAAAGCCCCGGGCUCAACCUGGGAAUUGCUUUGGAAACUGUUAAACUAGAGUGCUGGAGAGGCAGGCGGAAUUCCUAGUGUAGCGGUGAAAUGCGUAGAUAUUAGGAGGAACACCAGUGGCGAAGGCGGCCUGCUGGACAGUAACUGACGUUGAGGCUCGAAAGCGUGGGGAGCAAACAGGAUUAGAUACCCCGGUA
rnacentral:rRNA from 1 species